GUUCAAAACUAUCUCUUUUGUCUCAACAAGACCACAAGUAUAAGGUUCUUGAAAAAGAAUAUUUGAAGAUGAAGGAAGAAAUGGUAGAAAUGAAAACAAUGAAAGAUGAAAUGAUUGAAAUGAAAGCACUUAUGUUAUCUUAUUUAAAGAAACAUACUGAACCAAGUGAGGAACUUUCAAAUGCUACUGCAAGUGUGCUUAAGCGACUAAAUAUUCCUCCAAUGCCUUCUCCAUCGAGUAUCAAUAACAACAGUCAAACUAAGUGCAAGUUAUUAGAUUGGUAUGGCUCGGGAGAG